CCCAGCUGUAGGCAAUGGCCUAGGUUACCUUGUACCUAGGCAAGUGCUACACUGCUGGAAGAGAAGCAGCUAAUAGGUGGGGAGCAUGCUGGGCCUGGUUAAUGCCAAAUU
ensembl:snoRNA SNORA74 Small nucleolar RNA SNORA74